rnacentral:rRNA from 1 species
UACACUCAUGAGAUCCCAUAAAAGGUGUGACCCGCUGAAGACAGCAAGGAUGUGGCCAUGGAAGUUGGAAUCAUCUAAGGAGUGUGUAACAACUCACUUGCCGAAGCGCGUCGCCCUGAAAAUGGAAGCAGCUCGAGUGUUGAACUUAUACUUUGCCGUUGGGGCAUAGUUUUCUUGUAAAACAAUAUGCAGGCCCCAACGUGUAGGAGGGUUGUGUCGGUGGCGUUGAAGGCUAUGAGGGAGUGAUCCUGGCUGGAGCCGCCGAUAGUACAGAUCUUGGUGGUAGUAGCAA